CGGAAUCGCAUCAACUCGCAAAGGUCCAGAUGUCGCUCCUCCCCUGGACCACUUCCACCAAUCACGCCGGGCUUCGGACGAUUGACAAGCCCAAUGCCCAACCCGCCUGGCCCAGCUAGGGAGGCUAAAGCGAAUCGGGAUGAGUCUUAAAGAUUUGGGGCCUGUUUUAAUUUUAAUUGGUCGUUUUGGGCCAAGGAAGUUACGGAAAGUGGUGGAGUGAGAGCUGGCUGCCCAGAACACCUGUCAGGUUGUCCCUCGGCUGAUCAGAAAGCGGGUGGAGGGCGUGCCUUUCCUUUCUUAUUGGGCCUGAAGUAAAGCAGACUGCUGCCCCACCCCGACCCCGACCCCGCUGCCCGCCUCGUCCGCGUCUCAGCAAGUGGCCGCUCCACGGCUCCCUGCGCUCAAGCCAGCCCCCCUGGAAGGGUGUCACGGAGCGCACGGGCGGGUUGUCUAGCGAGUCCGAAGAGUGGGAUCCACGGACACGGGGUGUGAAGCAGCAAAGUGACGGGGUUCAUUGGAGUACAGGAAAGCAGAGCUCCCGAGAGGGUAGGGCCCCUAGACAGGGCUGCCCGCGGGUCGUUGUCGGGGGUUUCUGUUCGUUACUGAUGAGGAAAAGCCUUCUGGCGCAAUUGAAAGUGUAAGAUCCUGAUUUCUUAUUCCCAUAUGGAUGGGUUUAAUGUCUUUGCUCACCUCACUUUGUCCUGAACUUGUUCCUUAAAACAAAAGAACUGCUUGAGAUGAAAACAGCUCUUUGAGGUGGACUAAUGUGAGGGUCGUCAAGGAAAUCUGGGGUCACAAUAGAGUGUUGCGUGAUUAGGACUUUCCAGUCAGGAACCAAAAAUAAAUAAAUAAAAACCACCCUAUAGGGUUUCAGUCUGGGAUGGUGGGACCCCCUUCGAGGUCUGCAUUUCAAUCUUUCUCCUGCUGCGAAGGUAUAUUCUGACUUCUCAUUCUCACCCUUGUCCCCUCCUGUUGUUGCCUGUCUCUCAUACUUAGGUCAUCUUAUGAGAAGACACCAUCACAUGAUGGCGGUAGCCUGAAUUAGCUUCCUGGGACUGUCGUGUCACAGUGCUACAAACUGAGUGCCUUAAACAACAGAAGUUUAUUUUUCUAAAAUCUGGAGACCACAAUUCUAAAAUCAAGGUUUUGCAUAAUGAUGCUCUAUCUACAGUCUCCAGGGGAGGAAACUAUGCCUUUUCUAACUUCCCGUGGUGGCGGUCAUCUCUUGACGUUCCUUGCAGUGAAGCUGCAUCUCUCUAGUCUGUUUCGGUCACUAUGUGACAAUCUCCUUGUGUGUCUCUGUCCUCCCAUUGCGUUUUUCCUUUCUUGUAAGGAUACCAGUCCUGUUGCAUUUGGGCACACCCUAAUGACCUCAUCAUAAUUUGAUCAUCCAGAUUCCCCCUGCCAAAUAAGGUUAUAUUCACAAAAAUACUAGAGGUUAAGAUUUCAAAAUUUUGGGGGGAAGGCACAAUUCAACCCAUAACACCUGCUACAUUCCCUCCCUGAUUCCCUACAGUGACAGAUGAUAUUUUUUGUUUUGUUUGUGAUGCUGGGGAUGGAAUCCAGGGCCUUUCACAUGCUUAGUAGGCAUUUCUAUCACAGAGCUACAUCCCUAGCUCUAUAAUCCUUCCUAAAAGUCAGAUCAUUUCAGUCCUCUGCACAGAAUCCUCAAUUUCCUAUGUCACUCAGUAAAAUCCAAAGUUAGUUUGCUUCCAACCUCUAUAUGAUUGUCAUUCCCAAUCUCCUGCCAUUAUCCUUCUCACAACUGAAAGGAAAGCGAGGAAACAGGAGCAGGGCGAGUAAGAAAUGAAAGAGGGAGACCAGUCAGAGACACAUGAGACCAGUCAGACGACU
rnacentral:lncRNA from 1 species